UAAGUAAUGGAACCUCUGUCAAAUAUAUUGUCAUUUGCAUUAGAAAAGGUUUCUCAAUGGAAGUCUAUCAUGCUGCACACGGUACCAGAAAAUGAAAGGGUACCUGGUCCACCCAGAACAAAAAUGCUAAUUACGCCAAUGCUUUUCUCCGUCUCUCUUACAAUCUACCGCCAUAGAACAAACAAAUCUUCCAUGGUAUGCUGAAAUCAAGAGAUGAUACAUAUAUCGAAAGAUAUGUACAUAUACACGUAUACACCAUACAUUUAUGUUAGUCAAAGUACAUUCGUGUCGCUGCUGUCAGUUUUUUCAAUACACGCAUAUUGUACAAGUAUGUUUUUAAAAUGUCACAUCGUACAGUAGAUGAAAACGUCAAACCCAUAAAAAAACAAGCUAUAUAGUAAAACGUGAUUGAUAAAAGUGCGAAAUUAUCGUUCAGAUCGCUCGAAAUAAACACAGGUACCAUAGUUCAUCGAUUGCGGUUAUCCAGUGCCAUAUUUUUCGUUCCAGAACGUGGCGUUUAUUGCGCAAGAUCCGAUCACCAGCAUUUCGCCAUUUUCGUUGACCAUUCAACAGUUACAAUGAAAACGGCUAUAACCUAGCUUCGACUGUUACGCGAGAUACUGUAUAUCGAUUCAUCUCGAUAGUGAUCGAAAAUUGUCGAGUGUGAUCAAGAUUCUUUGAAAAAAUAAAUUCUAAAUCGAAGAUUAUUCUUUCUUUUCAUUUUCUUUCUCUCGACUGUUCGUAUCUUGCAUGUAUCGCUGUACUGGACGUUCCUGCGAACUUUACAGACUUUGAAUAUCGUAUUAAUAACAGAAAUUGAUGCACAUUAUAUAUAGGGUGAUUCAAAAAGAAUUAUUAUUUUGAACAUCUUUAAAAUCAUAAGAGUAAGAGGAACAUUUGUCCAAUAAAAAUUAUUAACUACUAAAGAGGUCAUCGUACGUUCAUAUCGAUUAUUUUGUAGGUGGAGUCGCUUAGGAAAUAUGAAGGUCAUUUCCAUUUUUUUAAACGCAACUACUUUCUUUACCUAAACCAAUUCACUGGAAUAUUUUACAUAAAAUAAUAUAAUGUCAGAAAUCGCCAACUGGUAAGAUUUAAAUCUCAUAAAUUUCAGUUGACCCUGUAUAACACAGAAUUGAUGUCCGGACAAAAUGUAUCGACGAGAGAAGCAACAAAACUAUGCAAUUGUUUGAACGAAGAAAACGAAGCACGUUGAAAUUUCUAGCCCACACGAUUUCUCAGCUUCUAUAGACCGUUUCUGUUCAUCUCUCUGUCUCGUUCUAUUUUUGGACCGCGCAUAGGUCAGUGAUAUAUACGGAAAAUGCUACAGUAAGAGUUAGCGAUGUCUAGUAGUAGCGAAGAAAAUAGGUAUAUGAGGAACAACAUGAUGCUGCAACGCGUGAAAAAUGAGUCCAACGAAAACAAAAUAAAGGAGGAGGAAGCUUCUACGUCGUUCCCUCUUGCUGAGAACUCCGACGACGAUGAUCCAAAUGUGGCCGAAGUGGUCCUUUCAAACAAAGGAGGCCCGAAAUUGAUUCAUCGUGGCUACAUGUAUACUUUGCAUAAGAAGCAACCGUAUAAUAUACGAUGGAGAUGCGUUGGCAGAACGAUGCAUUGCAGAGGUAGUCUUAUCACGUCGACAAAUUGUACGAAACCGAGGGUACGUAUGGAGCACAAUCACAAACCGGACUUCGCCGCUGCCCAGGUUGCCAGGAAACGAUACUUGGCUCUUGGCAAACCUUGCGUGUUAACAAACAUCGAAGGGAAUACAAAUCCUAUGAAUGCACCACAACGGAUGAUUCAUAAGGAAAAUGAUAUCCCAAAGGAGCAGAAAGGAAGUCGACUAACAACGACAACGCAAGCAACAGCUAGAAAAGAUGGCGGGCAUCUUGAAGAUGCGCGCGAAAAAAAGGGAGCCGUAGAAGCUGCCGAUCGAUGAGAAUCCGAGCGGUGAGCCCGACCGAGUCGAACGUGAUCAGGUCGGUUAGUAAUUCCUUAGCGAAGAGAGACCCGGGAACGCGCACACGAUAGCAACACGAAACACGAGAGAACAUACGGAAACGCGAUUAGCGUCGAAUCGGGAUCUAAAACAGCCCGACAACGAGCAAAACGGCUACGACGGCGG
rnacentral:misc_RNA from 1 species